CGGGACGAAGGUUCUGACGGGGGAAAGUGGAGCAAUCCACGCUACGAGAUCCGGCCCGCGGCCCAUUAGCUAGGUUGGUGAGGUAACGGCCCACCAAGGCGACGAUGGGUAGCUGGUCUGAGAGGAUGAUCAGCCACACUGGAACUGAGACACGGUCCAGACUCCUACGGGAGGCAGCAGUGGGGAAUUUUGCGCAAUGGGCAAAGCCUGACGCAGCAACGCCGCGUGUGUGACGAAGGCCCUAGGGUUGUAAAGCACUGUGGGAAGGGAAGAAAAAACGGGGGUUGUACCCCGUCUUGACGGUACCUUGUUAGAAAGCACCGGCUAACUCCGUGCCAGCAGCCGCGGUAAUACGGAGGGUGCAAGCGUUGUUCGGAAUUAUUGGGCGUAAAGGGCGUGUAGGUGGCUUGCCAAGUCUGGUGUGAAAGCCCACGGCUCAACCGUGGAACUGCAUUGGAAACUGGCAAGCUCGAGUGUUGGAGGGGGGUCGCGGAAUUCCCGGUGUAGAGGUGAAAUUCGUAGAUAUCGGGAGG
rnacentral:rRNA from 1 species